rnacentral:rRNA from 1 species
AUUGAACGCUGGCGGCAUGCUUUACACAUGCAAGUCGAACGGCAGCGCGGGCUUCGGCCUGGCGGCGAGUGGCGAACGGGUGAGUAAUACAUCGGAACGUGCCCAGUAGUGGGGGAUAGCUCGGCGAAAGCCGGAUUAAUACCGCAUACGACCUGAGGGUGAAAGCGGGGGAUCUUCGGACCUCGUGCUAUUGGAGCGGCCGAUGGCAGAUUAGCUAGUUGGUGGGGUAAAGGCCUACCAAGGCGACGAUCGGUAGCUGGUCUGAGAGGACGACCAGCCACACUGGGACUGAGACACGGCCCAGGCUCCUACGGGAGGCAGCAGUGGGGAAUUUUGGACAAUGGGCGAAAGCCUGAUCCAGCAAUGCCGCGUGUGUGAUGAAGGCCUUCGGGUUGUAAAGCACUUUUGGCGGGAACGAAAAGGACUGUGCCAAUACCACGGUUCGAUGACGGUACCCGCAGAAUAAGCACCGGCUAACUACGUG